rnacentral:lncRNA from 1 species
ACAGCAUCUGUAAUAGUCCUGUCUUUAUUUAGACGCUUAUUAGCGUAAUUUGAGUUUCAAAGUUUCAUUUUGAUGUAGAUAUAGACCGCCUAUAAUUAAAUAUAUUACAUUGUUUUUAAUCGCGACAGAUUUAAUCAUGUACGGAUCCCGCAGAACUUUAUUCCUCGUCAUUGUUUUAAUGGGCUUCCUUUUAGCCUUAUUUUAUGCUGGCAUGGUUUUUUGGAGUAAAAAUUCACUACCGGUAAUGAGACUCUCAAAUUGUCAGCAUGUUUCAGAGAUCCCAGACUUUCCCAAACCAAAUAUCGGGCCUUUUCGCAAUGAGAAUCCAGCACCCUGUACUUGCCAAAACACUAAUCUAGCAAACCAGUUUGUGUCAGAAGACGAUAUGGAUGACCUGCAGAAACGCCGGGCAGAAGAGUUCAGACAACACCAGAUCAGGUUACCCACAAUUCCUCAGAUCUCUUUAGUGUGGCACACACUUAUUCCUCAGACUGAAUGAACUGCUUGUAAAAAAAAAAUGGCAUGUGUCUUUCAGAUCAGGUAAAGAAAAUGAUUUUCUUCUUCUCGUCCCGGCCAACACACCGCUCCAGUAUCCGAUGAGAGGAUUCAGAGUGACUCCCAUGAAUAAAACACUCAUUCCUGGUGAGUCUGAUUUCUGUCUGUCCUUUAUUUGAUUGCUAAUGAUCUCAGGUUUCUUAAAUGCAUCUCCAGAAGAUUAC